GAUGAACGCUGACAGAAUGCUUAACACAUGCAAGUCUUUGGCGAAGCUGUGCUUGCACAGCCUAGCCAAGGCGGACGGGUGAGUAACGCGUAAGGAACUUGCCCUGCAGUCAGGGAUAACAGACGGAAACGACUGAUAAGACCUGGUAAAGUCAGGCGGACUCAUGUCCAGCCUGAUGAAAAGUGAUGCUGCAGGAGAGCCUUGCGUCCUAUUAGCUUGUUGGUGGGGUAACGGCCCACCAAGGCGAUGAUAGGUAGCCGGCCUGAGAGGGUGGACGGCCAAAAGGGGACUGAGAUACCGCCCUUAAUCCUACGGGAGGCAGGAGGGGGGAAUAAUGGAAAAUGGGGGCAAACCUGAACCAGCAAUUCCGUGUGGACGAUGAAAGGUUUCGGGUUGUAAAGGGGUUUCAGGAAGGAAGAAAAAAAUGACGGUACCUGCAGAAGAAGCGACGGCUAAAUACGUG
rnacentral:rRNA from 1 species